CCAAAAGAUGGUUAACUAUGCCUGAGCAAGGCAAAGCAAGAGGAAACUCUGGUGCAGGUCCAUAAUGGUCCUGAUGUUCACAUCGUCUGAUCUGGGUAUAGGGGUAAAAACUCAUCAAACCAUUCAGUAGCUG
rnacentral:ncRNA from 1 species